CUCCUGCCCUGGCCUAGGGGUUGACCUGAAACACGCAUACACCCUGAACAAGGCUCUGGUUCGCUCAGCUAAUUACCAUGCAAGAUUACAACAGAAACCCUUCUCCUGUGGACCUUUGGAAUGGAAAGUUCUGUCCUUGAGGUUUCCCACGGUGAUCCUGUGAAUACCACGAGUGUAAUGAUUCUCAUUUCUGGAAACCAGCAGAUACCAUCUACUUUUCCCAGCAUUUAUGCUUCUGGGAGUUUACCUAAAGACACACGUAGGAAUGCACAAAGAUACAUGUGAAAGUUCACUGCGGCCUCUGUAAGAAUCUCCUCCCACCAAUGGAAAUUAUUUAAAUGUUCAUCAAGAGGAGUGAUAUUAAAUAAAUUUAAUGAGAUAUUUUAAGAGAAUUCUCUAUGGCUGUUGAAAACAAUAAAGUUCUGUAUUUAUAGACCUAUAAUAUACUUGUAAAUGUUUUGGGGUAAA
rnacentral:lncRNA from 1 species